rnacentral:rRNA from 1 species
CAGCAGCCACGGUAAUACAGAGGGUGCAAGCGUUAAUCGGAAUUACUGGGCGUAAAGCGCGCGUAGGUGGUUUGUUAAGUUGGAUGUGAAAUCCCCGGGCUCAACCUGGGAACUGCAUCCAAAACUGGCAAGCUAGAGUAUGGUAGAGGGUGGUGGAAUUUCCUGUGUAGCGGUGAAAUGCGUAGAUAUAGGAAGGAACACCAGUGGCGAAGGCGACCACCUGGACUGAUACUGACACUGAGGUGCGAAAGCGUGGGGAGCAAACAGGAUUAGAUACCCCGGUAGUCCCUGUCUCUUAUAU